rnacentral:rRNA from 1 species
CGGCGGACGGGUGAGUAACGCGUGGGUAACCUGCCUCAUACAGGGGGAUAACAGUUAGAGAUGACUGCUAAUACCGCAUAAGACCACAGCACCGCAUGGUGCAGGGGUAAAAACUCCGGUGGUAUGAGAUGGACCCGCGUCUGAUUAGCUAGUUGGUAAGGUAACGGCUUACCAAGGCGACGAUCAGUAGCCGACCUGAGAGGGUGACCGGCCACAUUGGGACUGAGACACGGCCCAA